CAGUAGCCGCGGUAAUACGGAGGGUGCAAGCGUUACUCGGAAUCACUGGGCGUAAAGGACGCGUAGGCGGAUUAUCAAGUCUCUUGUGGAAUCUAACGGCUUAACCGUUAAACUGCUUGGGAAACUGAUAAUCUAGAGUAAGGGAGAGGCAGAUGGAAUUCUUGGUGUAGGGGUAAAAUCCGUAGAUAUCAAGAAGAAUACCUAUUGCGAAGGCGAUCUGCUGGAACUUAACUGACGCUAAUGCGUGAAAGCGUGGGGAGCAAACAGGAUUAGAUACCCGCGUAGUCCCUGUCUCUUAUAC
rnacentral:rRNA from 1 species